UACAAUGGCGCCCCAGUCUUCCCAGCUGGGCUAGAGGGUGAUGGUGGGUACCCAUAUGGUGCCGCUCAGCAACUCGGCAUGGGGGCUGAUGCAGGCAAAUCUGCCAGCAAAUAUGGGGACGCUGGGGCCGCACUCGGUGCCCAGCCUAAUGGACCACAGACUGGGGGCAAACCUAAUUGCAAAACUGGUAACGGCCGAGGAAAUGGACGAUCUCAGCCAGCUGGUAAAUACAUUUACACACACACAGACAAAGACACAGACGCACCCAUUUUACCAUUUAAGUCCCAAAUCCUGGACAAUUCUAUUUCUUUUUCAAACCAGGCAAAGUGGUGAAGUGAAAAGAUGUGUAAUGUAUCUUGUUUGUCUUAAGACCCUGUGUGAGUGUUUAGAGUGCCUCAAUUCAAAAGCAUUCAUUCUGAGUAUGUUCCUUUGUAGCGUAUGCUGGGCCCCUUGCAGCCAGCCAGGGUGGCUACGGUGAGUACCGAAACAGUGAGGUUCUACAUAUCCCAGGCCUUAUGUGUUAUUACCGUCUCAUACUGAGUUAAGCCCUUAGAUUGUCCUUGAUGUUUAGUCCUGGAUCCUAUAGUAUACACUUACAACACAAGAUGAAAACAUAACUAAGCCCUUUAUUCUUUUUUUUCUCUACAGGAGGCAAAGACGGGAGCAAGUAUGGUUUGAACAACUACUAUGGCAACGGCUACAAAGGUGAGAGAUAGUUUUGGUGGAUUUAAAAUCAAAUAAGUUGACACACCUUUUAUGUUGUAGUCCUCCUUCUGUCUUCUAAGGCACCCAGUAAAAAAAA
ensembl:lncRNA